CUGGCGGGCGACUCCCCACGCCUCCUGCAACACCGCCCUCUCCCUACCGGAGCGAGGAGGCAGGAAAAGCCUAGAGACGCCUGGUCCCAUCCGCCUACCCAGUCCCCAGCCGGCCUGAAGGGAGGAAGAGGAAGGAACCCAUAAUCAUCCCAAACUGGCGCAAAUGCCUGGAGUUGGUCUGGGGAAUAAAGAAUGGGAUGAAAUGGUGAGAGUCCAGAGGGGUUGAGCAAAGAACUCACUAUCACACAGCAAGGCACUAAUUUGAAAUGCCUGGGAGAAGUAGAAGCUGCAUUUGACUCUCAUAUUCUUAUUGGACCAGGAAGGCAGGAGGAGACACCAGUGUGCACCAGAGAAGGAGAAGUCAGAGAUGACAGUCCCUGCCUGAGGCCAUCUCUGGUCCACCAGACAACUCAUCACCAACUUCCCAACAGCCACUGCUCUAGGCCAGGUGUCCACAUGGGGAAUAGGUCCAGGCCCUCUAUGGCUCUCGCAGGAGUCAGGGAGGCAGAUAAAUAACAUAUCACAAAGACAGAAUAUAAGAAAUGCCUGGGAGGAGGCAUACUGAUGCGUGGAAAGUACUCAGCCAGAAGCCUGGCACUAGAAGGGCCCAGGGAUUGUUGGCAUGUAUGAGUCACAGUUCCAUUUCAGUGGAGUGAGCAGGGAGAGAAUCUCCUGGAAGUAGGUGAAUAGAGAAAAUACAGCCUCUUCCUUACCUUUGAAUUUUUUUAGGCUCCCUGUGAUGGAGUCAUGUCUUGAUUUUGCUUCACUGAGUUUUUUCUCCAGUUCCAGAGGAACAGGGGUUGGGUUGAGAAACUGAAACUCUUCACUUCUAGGAAGAUGUGGUUGAGCUGGUUGGUGAGAUCAGGGGAUGAGGUGUGGGAGAAGGAGGAUCUGAGAUACGCGGUUGAGAAAUGAGGGGAUGAAGACCUGGGGGUAGAACUGAGAGCAGUGGCUCACACCUGUAAUCCCA
rnacentral:lncRNA from 1 species